rnacentral:tRNA from 1 species
GGACUGUAGCUCAGUGAUAGAGCGCUCACCUGCCAUGCGUGAGGCACUGGGUUCGAUCCUCAACACCA